GGUGAAACUCGACUUUGGGGACAAGCGCUUCGUAGUUUCCGCGCUCCAGGUGCGCUACCUGGUGAAACUCCACUUCAGGAAUGAGCGCUCCAUAGUUUCCGCGGUUCAGGACCGCUACCUGGUGAAACUCGACUUCAGGGACAAGCGCUCCGUAGUUUCUACGCUCCAGGUCUGCUACCUGAUGAAACUCGACUCUCGGAGGACAAGGAAGACGAGGAGAACAAGGUGGACGAAGAGAACGAGGAUUUCUGCACGGUCGUUAUCGGUGGGUGUUGGAGGUGGUCUGAGGUGAACAAGAAGGAGGACGAGGAAGACGUGGAGAACAAGGUGGGGGAGGAGUACGAGGAUUUGUGCUCGGUACAACCCAAGGUGGUUAUCGGUGGUCGUCGGUGGUCGUUGGAGGUGGUCGGAGGCGGACGAGGAGGAGGACGAGGAAGACGAGGAGAACAAGGCG